ACUCUCAGGCCAACGAGGUGGGCAGGCCUGCUGCUAGGUGACCGAGUCCUCUUUGGCGGUUUUAAUUUCCCCAGCAACUUGCUCGCCUUCUGCUGUAGCUGAAUCUGGCGCGUAAGAUUCCUGGCGGCCCAGGCCCACACCAAGGGUUAAUGUGAGAUGGCACAGCAUAGGAGACUGAAGUGUGAAAGAAGUCAUAAGAAGGCUUCCUGAGGACUUUGAGGCAACAGAGUGUUGCGUUAAGACCUGACCAUGAGGCAUCAGGCCAUGCCUGCGGAGCCGUGGACAAACAUGAAGCAGUAGAACAGGGAGAACAUGCAGAAGAGAAACCGAGUCGGUGGAUGUGGGCGAGAAGAAACCUGACAACUCACCUGUUUCCAGAAGAGUCAGUUGAGCCAAGAUGGAAGUGAGGGGUUUGUCAGGUAACUCUGAGAGCAAGGAUCACUAUCACCCAGCCGGUGACUCACGUGGUACCGGUACUGAGUGCAGACUGAGAAGACUGUGGAAGACUUGAACAUGAGUGACCGUGCAGAGCCAGUCCACGCUUUCCUACGCUUGCGAAAUACUGCACUGUCUCCCAGAAAGCCUCCAGGAGCACAGUUUGAUCAAGAAUUCUAUGUGAUACUUUAAUCUUCACACCCAGAGGACACACCGCAAACAGAGUGUGUCCAAGAACAGGACCUCUUACAUUGAUACCUGAGUGACAGGGACUACACCUAAAGUCCCUUGGUUUUAAAAACAAUAAGUUUACAAAUGGUAAAAGGUAUGUUGAAAUAAUUCAAAGAACAAAUUAA
rnacentral:lncRNA from 1 species